rnacentral:rRNA from 1 species
AGCAGCCGCGGUAAUUCCAGCUCCAAUAGCGUAUAUUAAAGUUGUUGCAGUUAAAAAGCUCGUAGUUGAAUUUCGGGGUCAGUAGGUUGGUCGUGCCACCGGUACGUACUGGUCUCACUGAUUCCUCCUUCCUGAUGAGCUGUAAUGCCAUUAAUUUGGUGUUGCAGGGAAUCUGGACUGUUACUUUGAAAAAAUUAGGGUGUUUAAAGCAGGCUAACGCUUGAAUACAUUAGCAUGGAAUAAUGAAAUAGGACGUUCGAUCCUAUUUUGUUGGUUUCUAGGAUUGACGUAAUGAUUAAUAGGGAUAGUUGGGGGCAUUAGUAUUCAAUUGUCAGAGGUGAAAUUCUUGGAUUUAUUGAAGACUAACUACUGCGAAAGCAUUUGCCAAGGAUGUUUUCAUUAAUCAAGAACGAAAGUUAGGGGAUCGAAGACGAUCAGAUACCGUCGUAGUCUUAACCAUAAACUAUGCCGACUAGGGAUCAGAUGAUGUUAAUUUUUUAAUGG